rnacentral:rRNA from 1 species
UUAAGCGACUAAGCGUACACGGUGGAUGCCCUGGCAGUCAGAGGCGAUGAAGGACGUGCUAAUCUGCGAUAAGCGUCGGUAAGGUGAUAUGAACCGUUAUAACCGGCGAUUUCCGAAUGGGGAAACCCAGUGUGAUUCGUCACACUAUCAUUAACUGAAUCCAUAGGUUAAUGAGGCGAACCGGGGGAACUGAAACAUCUAAGUACCCCGAGGAAAAGAAAUCAACCGAGAUUCCCCCAGUAGCGGCGAGCGAACGGGGAGCAGCCCAGAGCCUGAAUCAGUGUGUGUGUUAGUGGAAGCGUCUGGAAAGGCGCGCGAUACAGGGUGACAGCCCCGUACACAAAAAUGCACAUGCUGUGAGCUCGAUGAGUAGGGCGGGACACGUGGUAUCCUGUCUGAAUAUGGGGGGACCAUCCUCCAAGGCUAAAUACUCCUGACUGACCGAUAGUGAACCAGUACCGUGAGGGAAAGGCGAAAAGAACCCCGGCGAGGGGAGUGAAAAAGAACCUGAAACCGUGUACGUACAAGCAGUGGGAGCACCUUCGGGUGUGACUGCGUACCUUUUGUAUAAUGGGUCAGCGACUUAUAUUCUGUAGCAAGGUUAACCGAAUAGGGGAGCCGAAGGGAAACCGAGUCUUAACUGGGCGUUAAGUUGCAGGGUAUAGACCCGAAACCCGGUGAUCUAGCCAUGGGCAGGUUGAAGGUUGGGUAACACUAACUGGAGGACCGAACCGACUAAUGUUGAAAAAUUAGCGGAUGACUUGUGGCUGGGGGUGAAAGGCCAAUCAAACCGGGAGAUAGCUGGUUCUCCCCGAAAGCUAUUUAGGUAGCGCCUCGUGAAUUCAUCUCCGGGGGUAGAGCACUGUUUCGGCAAGGGGGUCAUCCCGACUUACCAACCCGAUGCAAACUGCGAAUACCGGAGAAUGUUAUCACGGGAGACACACGGCGGGUGCUAACGUCCGUCGUGAAGAGGGAAACAACCCAGACCGCCAGCUAAGGUCCCAAAGUCAUGGUUAAGUGGGAAACGAUGUGGGAAGGCCCAGACAGCCAGGAUGUUGGCUUAGAAGCAGCCAUCAUUUAAAGAAAGCGUAAUAGCUCACUGGUCGAGUCGGCCUGCGCGGAAGAUGUAACGGGGCUAAACCAUGCACCGAAGCUGCGGCAGCGACGCUUAUGCGUUGUUGGGUAGGGGAGCGUUCUGUAAGCCUGCGAAGGUGUGCUGUGAGGCAUGCUGGAGGUAUCAGAAGUGCGAAUGCUGACAUAAGUAACGAUAAAGCGGGUGAAAAGCCCGCUCGCCGGAAGACCAAGGGUUCCUGUCCAACGUUAAUCGGGGCAGGGUGAGUCGACCCCUAAGGCGAGGCCGAAAGGCGUAGUCGAUGGGAAACAGGUUAAUAUUCCUGUACUUGGUGUUACUGCGAAGGGGGGACGGAGAAGGCUAUGUUGGCCGGGCGACGGUUGUCCCGGUUUAAGCGUGUAGGCUGGUUUUCCAGGCAAAUCCGGAAAAUCAAGGCUGAGGCGUGAUGACGAGGCACUACGGUGCUGAAGCAACAAAUGCCCUGCUUCCAGGAAAAGCCUCUAAGCAUCAGGUAACAUCAAAUCGUACCCCAAACCGACACAGGUGGUCAGGUAGAGAAUACCAAGGCGCUUGAGAGAACUCGGGUGAAGGAACUAGGCAAAAUGGUGCCGUAACUUCGGGAGAAGGCACGCUGAUAUGUAGGUGAAGCGACUUGCUCGUGGAGCUGAAAUCAGUCGAAGAUACCAGCUGGCUGCAACUGUUUAUUAAAAACACAGCACUGUGCAAACACGAAAGUGGACGUAUACGGUGUGACGCCUGCCCGGUGCCGGAAGGUUAAUUGAUGGGGUUAGCGGUAACGCGAAGCUCUUGAUCGAAGCCCCGGUAAACGGCGGCCGUAACUAUAACGGUCCUAAGGUAGCGAAAUUCCUUGUCGGGUAAGUUCCGACCUGC